GUACGUAGGGUGCAAGCGUUGUCCGGAAUUAUUGGGCGUAAAGAGCUCGUAGGCGGUGUGUCACCGUCGGCCGUGAAAACCUGCAGCUUAACUGUGGGCGUGCGGUCGAUACGGGGCAUCACUGGAGUUCGGCAGGGGAGACUGGAAUUCCUGGUGUAGCGGUGAAAUGCGCAGAUAUCAGGAGGAACACCGGUGGCGAAGGCGGGUCUCUGGGCCGAUACUGAC
rnacentral:rRNA from 1 species